UACGUAGGGUGCAAGCGUUGUCCGGAAUUAUUGGGCGUAAAGAGCUCGUAGGCGGUUUGUCGCGUCUGCUGUGAAAACCCGAGGCUCAACCUCGGGCCUGCAGUGGGUACGGGCAGACUAGAGUGCGGUAGGGGAGAUUGGAAUUCCUGGUGUAGCGGUGGAAUGCGCAGAUAUCAGGAGGAACACCCGUGGCGAAGGCGGCUCUCUGGGACGGUACUGACGCUGAGACGCGAAAGCGUGGGGAGCGAACAGG
rnacentral:rRNA from 1 species